CGUCCGGAGGUGGGCUACCGGCUGCACUUGAAGAACUUGAUAUUGCUCAUCUAUCGAAGCUGGAGUCACUACUAGCAGAGGACGGUACGAAAAUUAUUUGUCCAUCUCUUAAAUCGAUUCGAAUUAAUGCUUGUAAGAAGCUCAAAUCCUUGCCCGAUGCCAUGCAUGGUAGCAGCAACAAUAAUGAAUUCAAAAAUCUCAGCCUAGUGGACAUAAGAGGUUGUGAAAACAUGGAGUCCCUUCCGGAAGGUUGGUUCCGGUUGGCCACAUCGAAUCUGAGAGACUUGCUUAUCUACGACUGCAAAAAGCUCGAGGCCCUACCGUACAACCUCAGUUCUCUUCAAGAGCUGAAAGUAUGGAAAUGGCCUGCAGGAAUUGUCUCCAACUGGAGUUCCCUGACGAACCUCAGUUCACUCACCAUCGACACGAUCAUGAUCGGUAAGCCCCCAUCAGAGUGGGGUUUGCACAGAUUACCCUCUCUUAGAAAACUCCUUCUUAAUGGUUUCAAAGAUUACCGUUGUUGGGAGUCCAUUUCAGACGAUGGAAUGUUAUUGCCCACCUCUCUGACCAACCUGUCCUUCCAGCAUUUUACAAAUCUAGAGAAGCUUUCUUUCAAGGACUUUCAAGACCUCACCUCUCUUGAAAAACUUUUCAUCUAUCGUUGCCCUAAGCUCACUCAUUUGCCAAAGGAAGGGCUGCCUCCCUCGCUUUUGAAUAUCGAGAUUAGGAGUUGCCCCAAAUUUGCAUCCUUUCCGAAGCAAGGGCUGCCUCCCUCACUUCGGUAUCUCUGGAUUGAGAGUUGCCCUAAAUUAUCAUCGUUUCCGGAACAAGGGCUGCCUCCCUCGCUUUUGUGGUUGGAGAUCAAAGGAUGUCCGAUACUAAAACAACGGUGUCAAAAGGGGAAAGGCCGAUAUUGGCGCUUCAUUUCUCACAUUCCUCGUGUCGACAUAGAUGAUAAAUUCAUCUUUGACCCAAGCUGCUAGAAAACAAGUCAGAAAUUGAAAGAGAAACAGUGAAGAAGGGCCACUUCUUCCCUCUGACUGCAACCUCUGUGUCAACAUUUUCGAAACAUCAUCUUGCAAUGCAAAUUCGACUGUAGAAGAUUUGAGGCACAUAUAUAGAGAGAUUGUGAGAGUCGAGAGUGGAGGUGAAUGGCAUCGAUUUCUUCCUCAUUUGUGGAGAUUGCCAACGAUGGUGUAGGGGUGAUCUAGAGAUAUAAUGGAGAUCCAGGCAGAUAGAAGUGGAGAUUGAGAGGGAACAUAGUUGAUCAAACAUACUCAUUGCCGACUCUGGUGAAGAAGAUCACAAGACAAAGGGUUUCAUAAACUGGAUAUGUGAUUUUGGACUUUGAAUUUACAUCAAUGCAAAAUUGCAUGUUAAACA